CUUAAGCUUGAACUAUGUAGCUUCAUUAGCGACCUAGAUACUUGUUAAAUGCCCCUAUAAUAUGGUGGCUAAACCCGGUAAAUGGGUUAUUCAUGAUGUUGAUUUUGGUGGCAAUGUUUAUACUUGAUUGUUAUCUUAUUGUCAUUACUUUGAUAGCAAUGGAAAGUCUUGUAAAUUGAACCUAUGACUAUGCAAUCACUUAACCUAUUGGAUAGUCUACUAUGUGGG
rnacentral:lncRNA from 1 species